AUGGCGGACAAGAAGGGCGGAGCGCCGAGGAAGGAGGAGGUCGUCACGAGGGAGUACACCGUCAACCUCCACAAGCGCCUCCAUGGCUGUACCUUCAAGAAGAAGGCACCUAAUGCCAUCAAAGAGCUCAGGAAGUUUGCACAGAAGGCUAUGGGCACGACAGACGUCAGGAUCGACGUGAAGCUCAACAAGCUCAUCUGGAGCAGUGGGAUCAGAAGCGUGCCCCGUAGGGUUCGCGUGAGGAUUGCCCGCAGGAGGAACGAUGAGGAGGACGCCAAGGAGGAGCUCUACUCACUCGUCACCGUUGCCGAGGUGCCUGCUGAGGGUUUGAAGGGGCUGGGAACCAAGGUCGUCGAUGACACUGAGUAG
rnacentral:rRNA from 1 species